AGCGAAUGCUGGCGGCAGGCCUAACACAUGCAAGUCGAGCGCCCAGCAAUGGGAGCGGCAGACGGGUGAGUAACGCGUGGGGAUCUGCCCAAUGGUGCGGAAUAACCCAGGGAAACUUGGAUUAAUACCGUAUGUGCCCUUCGGGGGAAAGAUUUAUCGCCAUUGGAUGAACCCGCGUCGGAUUAGCUAGUUGGUGUGGUAAAGGCGCACCAAGGCGACGAUCCGUAGCUGGUCUGAGAGGAUGAUCAGCCACACUGGGACUGAGACACGGCCCAGACUCCUACGGGAGGCAGCAGUGGGGAAUAUUGGACAAUGGGCGCAAGCCUGAUCCAGCCAUGCCGCGUGUGUGAUGAAGGCCUUAGGGUUGUAAAGCACUUUCGCCGGUGAAGAUAAUGACGGUAACCGGAGAAGAAGCCCCGGCUAACUUCGUGCCAGCAGCCGCCGUAAGAC
rnacentral:rRNA from 1 species